rnacentral:rRNA from 1 species
GGUAAUACGGAGGGUGCAAGCGUUAUCCGGAAUCAUUGGGUUUAAAGGGUCCGCAGGCGGUCAAUUAAGUCAGAGGUGAAAUCCCAUAGCUUAACUAUGGAACUGCCUUUGAUACUGGUUGACUUGAGUUAUACGGAAGUAGAUAGAAURUGUAGUGUAGCGGUGAAAUGCAUAGAUAUUACAYAGAAUACCGAUUGCGAAGGCAGUCUACUACGUAUAUACUGACGCUCAUGGACGAAAGCGUGGGGAGCGAACAGGAUUAGAUACCCUGGUAGUCCACGCCGUAAACGAUGGAYACUAGUUGUUGGG